rnacentral:tRNA from 1 species
AGGGAGCUAAUCCAAAACAAGAUCUCUGAUUUCGGCUCAGAAAAUCGUGGUUUAAUUCCACGGCCCCCUU